UUCGGGCGCCGGCGAGUGGCGAGCGGGUGAGUAACACGUGGAGACCUAUCCUUUGGUGGGGGACAACAGCUGGAAACGGCUGCUAAUACCGCAUACGCCCUACGGGGGAAAGAUUUAUUGCCGAAGGAGGGUUCCGCGUCGGAUUAGCUAGUUGGUGGGGUAACGGCCUACCAAGGCGACGAUCCGUAGCUGGUCUUAGAGGAUGAUCAGCCACACUGGGACUGAGACACGGCCCAGACUCCUACGGGAGGCAGCAGUGGGGAAUAUUGCGCAAUGGGGGAAACCCUGACGCAGCGAUGCCGCGUGGGUGAAGAAGGCCUUAGGGUUGUAAAGCCCUUUCAGUGGGAACGAUAGUGACGGUACCCACAGAAGAAGCCCCGGCUAACUCCGUGCCAGCAGCCGCGGUAAUACGGAGGGGGCGAGCGUUGUUCGGAAUUAUUGGGCGUAAAGCGCGCGUAGGCGGUUUAUCAAG
rnacentral:rRNA from 1 species